rnacentral:rRNA from 1 species
UGGCUCAGAUUGAACGCUGGCGGCAGGCUUAACACAUGCAAGUCGAACGGUAACAGGAGAAAGCUUGCUUUCUUGCUGACGAGUGGCGGACGGGUGAGUAAUGCUUGGGAAUCUGGCUUAUGGAGGGGGAUAACUACGGGAAACUGUAGCUAAUACCGCGUAGUAUCGAGAGAUGAAAGUGCGGGACCGUAAGGCCGCAUGCCAUGAGAUGAGCCCAAGUGGGAUUAGGUAGUUGGUGGGGUAAAGGCCUACCAAGCCGACGAUCUCUAGCUGGUCUGAGAGGAUGACCAGCCACACCGGGACUGAGACACGGCCCGGACUCCUACGGGAGGCAGCAGUGGGGAAUAUUGCGCAAUGGGGGCAACCCUGACGCAGCCAUGCCGCGUGAAUGAAGAAGGCCUUCGGGUUGUAAAGUUCUUUCGGUAGCGAGGAAGGCAUUUAGUUUAAUAGACUAGGUGAUUGACGUUAACUACAGAAGAAGCACCGGCUAACUCCGUGCCAGCAGCCGCGGUAAUACGGAGGGUGCGAGCGUUAAUCGGAAUAACUGGGCGUAAAGGGCACGCAGGCGGUGACUUAAGUGAGGUGUGAAAGCCCCGGGCUUAACCUGGGAAUUGCAUUUCAUACUGGGUCGCUAGAGUACUUUAGGGAGGGGUAGAAUUCCACGUGUAGCGGUGAAAUGCGUAGAGAUGUGGAGGAAUACCGAAGGCGAAGGCAGCCCCUUGGGAAUGUACUGACGCUCAUGUGCGAAAGCGUGGGGAGCAAACAGGAUUAGAUACCCUGGUAGUCCACGCUGUAAACGAUGUCGAUUUGGGG